UUUUGGUCCCAUUCUACCUACGAUGGCGUAUUAGGCCACAUCGGAAAAAUAUAAACACUUUUCACUAUGAGAAUAAAGUCGUAAUAUUUGAGAAUAAAGCCAUAACAUUAUGAGAAUAAGUCGUAGUUUAAAAAAAACUGAUAAUU